rnacentral:rRNA from 1 species
UGCUUACACAUGCAGUCGAACGCUGAAGCACCAGCUUGCUGGUGUGGAUGAGUGGCGAACGGGUGAGUAAUACGUGAGUAACCUGCCCUUGACUCUGGGAUAAGCCCGGGAAACUGGGUCUAAUACUGGAUGCUACAUGUCACCGCAUGGUGGUGUGUGGAAAGGGUUUACUGGUCUUGGAUGGGCUCACGGCCUAUCAGCUUGUUGGUGAGGUAAUGGCUCACCAAGGCGACGACGGGUAGCCGGCCUGAGAGGGUGACCGGCCACACUGGGACUGAGACACGGCCCAGACUCCUACGGGAGGCAGCAGUGGGGAAUAUUGCACAAUGGGCGAAAGCCUGAUGCAGCGACGCCGCGUGAGGGAUGACGGCCUUCGGGUUGUAAACCUCUUUCAGCAGGGAAGAAGCCACAAGUGACGGUACCUGCAGAAGAAGCGCCGGCUAACUACGUGCCAGCAGCCGCGGUAAUACGUAGGGCGCAAGCGUUGUCCGGAAUUAUUGGGCGUAAAGAGCUCGUAGGCGGUUUGUCGCGUCUGCUGUGAAAGCCCGGGGCUUAACCCCGGGUGUGCAGUGGGUACGGGCAGACUAGAGUGCAGUAGGGGAGACUGGAAUUCCUGGUGUAGCGGUGGAAUGCGCAGAUAUCAGGAGGAACACCGAUGGCGAAGGCAGGUCUCUGGGCUGUUACUGACGCUGAGGAGCGAAAGCAUGGGGAGCGAACAGGAUUAGAUACCCUGGUAGUCCAUGCCGUAAACGUUGGGCACUAGGUGUGGGGGACAUUCCACGUUUUCCGCGCCGUAGCUAACGCAUUAAGUGCCCCGCCUGGGGAGUACGGCCGCAAGGCUAAAACUCAAAGGAAUUGACGGGGGCCCGCACAAGCGGCGGAGCAUGCGGAUUAAUUCGAUGCAACGCGAAGAACCUUACCAAAGGCUUGACAUAUACCGGAUCGUUCCAGAGAUGGUUCUUCCCCUUUGGGGUCGGUAUACAGUGGUGCAUGGUUGUCGUCAGCUCGUGUCGUGAGAUGUUGGGUUAAGUCCC